GGCCGAGUGGCAGAGUGGCCAUGCAGCGGAUUGCAAAUCCGCGUACGUCGGUUCGAUUCCGGCCUCGGCCUCCA
rnacentral:tRNA from 1 species